rnacentral:rRNA from 1 species
GACGUAGGGCGCGAGCGUUGUCCGGAUUUAUUGGGCGUAAAGAGCGUGUAGGCGGCCACUUAAGUCCUGCGUGAAAUCUUGCGGCUCAACCGCAAGCGGUCGUGGGAAACUGGGUGGCUAGAGUGCGGGAGAGGAGAGUGGAAUUCCGUGGUGUAGCGGUGGAAUGCGCAGAUAUCAGGAAGAACACCCGUGGCGAAGGCGGCUCUCUGGGACGGUACUGACGCUGAGGCGCGAAAGCGUGGGAGCAACAGG